rnacentral:rRNA from 1 species
UUCCUACGGGGGGCAGCAGUGAGGAAUAUUGGUCAAUGGCCGCAGGGCUGAACCAGCCAAGUCGCGUGAGGGAUGACGGUCCUAUGGAUUGUAAACCUCUUUUGUCAGGGAGCAAAGGGCGCCACGUGUGGCGUUUUGCGAGUACCUGAAGAAAAAGCAUCGGCUAACUCCGUGCCAGCAGCCGCGGUAAUACGGAGGAUGCGAGCGUUAUCCGGAUUUACUGGGUGCAAAGGGAGCGUAGACGGCAGCGCAAGUCUGAAGUGAAAUGCCGGGGCUUAACCCCGGAACUGCUUUGGAAACUGUGC